rnacentral:rRNA from 1 species
UACGGGGGGGGCAAGCGUUGUUCGGAAUUACUGGGCGUAAAGGGCGCGUAGGCGGCCUGUUAAGUCGAACGUGAAAUCCCCGGGCUCAACCCGGGAACUGCGUCCGAUACUGGCAGGCUUGAGUUCGGGAGAGGGAUGCGGAAUUCCAGGUGUAGCGGUGAAAUGCGUAGAUAUCUGGAGGAACACCGGUGGCGAAGGCGGCAUCCUGGACCGACACUGACACUGAGGAGCGAAAGCCAGGGGAGCAAACGGG